AUGCCCGAUGGUGUUAAUGAUACAACAAUUGUUCCCAUCCCUAAAGUUCCUCAUCCAAAGGAACUAAAGGAUUUUCGCCCAAUCAGCUUGUGUAAUGUGGUAUACAAGAUUGUUUCCAAGUGCAUGGUGAACAGGUUGAGGCCCCUCCUCACGGACCUCAUUUCUGAAAACCAAAGUGCAUUCAUUUCAGGGAGACUUAUAUCGGAUAAUUCUAUCAUUGCUUUUGAAUGUAUUCAUCAUAUUCAGUCGAUUAAGCAUAAUUCACCAAGCUUAUGUGCCUACAAGCUGGACUUAUCAAAAGCCUAUGAUCGUGUUGAUUGGGAAUUCUUGGAGAAGGCACUGGCCAAAUGGGGUUUUUCUUAG
rnacentral:rRNA from 1 species